rnacentral:lncRNA from 1 species
GUGCUUGUCCCUGGGGCUCAGUGAGCAGGGUUCAGAGUGCUUGUCCCUGGGGCUCAGUGAGCGGGAUUGAGUGCUUGUCCCUGGGGCUCAGUAAACGGAGUUCAGAGUGCUUGUCCCUGGGGCACAGUGAGCGGGAUUGAGUGCUUGUCCCUGGGGCUCAGUGAGCGGGGUUCAAAGUGCUUGUCCCUGGGGCUCAGUGAGCGGGGUUCAGAGUGCUUGUCCCUGGGGCUCAGUGAACAUCCCAGCAAGGCUGUAGUCAGAACAUAGAAACAUUCUGUGAAUGAGACGUUGUAUGUUCAGAUUUUAUAAAAGCCGUUUUUAAACAAGCCCAAUUUACAGCCGUAUAUUUUCUUAUGAUGUAAUUUAUGAAAAAGAUGUCUGUUCUAACAGGUGCUCUAACACCACUGUUGUUGGGUUUUAUUGUUUGGUGAUAAAUGUGUACAAUCUUUCUAUGGGAAACUGUGUACUGUGAUGUAAAGUCUGGGCAAAAUGUACAUAAUCCUUGUAUAUAAUUGUGUAUUUGAUUAUAAUUACUGAUUGUAAAGAUUUAAUAAAACAUGUAAAUACUUGGGUCUAGUUUUACUG